AUGGCGACAGCGAGGCGGGUCAAGGGCGGCGGCGCUCCUGGUUCCAGCGGGAGGAAGAACAUCCCAGUCACCGCUCGGGAGGCGCGAAGCAGAGGGAGGAGAGGAGGCUCCGGCUUGGUCGUGGCCUCGUCGGCCGGCGAGGUGGAGCUCCGGCAGUGGCUCGAUGGACAGAGGAGCUGGGUGGCUAUGCGCGGGAUCCAGAGAGAGAGAGAUGGGGGUCGCGUGGGAUCGAGAGGAAAGGGGUCGAGGGGAUCGGGAUCGAGCCGAGGGCUCUGCGGCGCUGAGGAGAAGGGUUCGGCUGCGCUAGGGGAUCGAUAG
rnacentral:rRNA from 1 species